rnacentral:lncRNA from 1 species
CUAAAGGGGAUUAUCACAUUUAAUGACGACUUGACCUCCUUCUCUCCCAGCAAGAAAACAAGUCGUACAGAGGCCACCAUACCCAGAAGGAUCAAAUUGACAGCCAGGUCUUCAAGUACAUCAAAUCAAGAGAGCUUUACAAGGAAAACUAACGAUUCCUGCCAGAAGUCUUCCAUCAUUCCUUCUAUGAAUCGGUUAAGAUCAACAAACUAGCAGCUGACCUUGAACCACAAGCCAAAGGUCUUGUCGCAGUUUUCAUCAUUAC